AACGUAGGAGACAAACGUUAUCCGGAGUUACUGGGCGUAAAGGGCGUGUAGGUGGUUCUGUAAGUCUGGCGUGAAAUUUCUCGGCUUAACCGAGGCAGGUCGUCGGAUACUGCAGGGCUAGAGGACGGUAGAGGCGUGUGGAAUUCCGGGUGUAGUGGUGAAAUGCGUAGAGAUCCGGAGGAACACCAGUGGCGAAGGCGACACGCUGGGCCGUACCUGACACUGAUGCGCGAAAGCAUGGGGAGCAAACAGG
rnacentral:rRNA from 1 species